rnacentral:rRNA from 1 species
GGAUUAGAUACCCUGGUAGUCCACGCUGUAAACGAUGAGUACUAGCUGUUGGUUUCGGUGUAAAGGGACUAGUGGCGUAGCUAACGCGAUAAGUACUCCGCCUGGGGACUACGGCCGCAAGGCUAAAACUCAAAGGAAUUGACGGGGACCCGCACAAGCGGUGGAGCAUGUGGUUUAAUUCGAGGCAACGCGAAGAACCUUACCUGGUCUUGACAUCCACAGAACUUUGCAGAGAUGCAUAGGUGCCUUUUAGGAACUGUGAGACAGGUGCUGCACGGCUGUCGUCAGCUCGUGCCG